AGAGUUUGAUCCUGGCUCAGGACGUACGCUGGCGGCGUGCCUAAUACAUGCAAGUCGAGCGGACCUCAUAGGAAGCUUGCUUUUUAUGAGGUUAGCGGCGGACGGGUGAGUAACACGUGGGUAACCUGCCCUAUAGACCGGGAUAACCCGCGGAAACGCGUGCUAAUACCGGAUAACACAGCGGAGCGCAUGCUCCGGUGUUGAAAGGUGGUUCUGCUACCGCUAUAGGAUGGGCCCGCGGCGCAUUAGCUGGUUGGUGGGGUAACGGCCUACCAAGGCGACGAUGCGUAGCCGACCUGAGAGGGUGAUCGGCCACACUGGGACUGAGACACGGCCCAGACUCCUACGGGAGGCAGCAGUAGGGAAUCUUCCACAAUGGGCGAAAGCCUGAUGGAGCAACGCCGCGUGAGCGAAGAAGGUCUUCGGAUCGUAAAGCUCUGUUGUAAGGGAAGAACAAGUGCGGUAGUAACUG
rnacentral:rRNA from 1 species